rnacentral:snRNA from 1 species
UAGUCACUUUCACUGCAU